AGAGUUUGAUCCUGGCUCAGGAUGAACGUUGGCGGCAUGCUUAACACAUGCAAGUCGAACGCAGGCUUCGGCCUGAGUGGCGAACGGGUGCGUAACACGUAGGUGACCUGGCCUGGAGUGGGGGAUAACCCUCGGAAACGGGGGCUAAUACCGCAUGGUCUGGAGGUGUCUUGAAAACCUUCAGUAAAGCUCGAUGUGCUCUAGGGGGGGCCUGCGGCCUCAGGUAGUUGGUGGGGUAAGAGCCUACCAAGCCGAUGACGGGUAGCUGACCUGAGAGGGUGGUCAGCCACAGGGGAACUGAGACACGGUCCCCACUCCUACGGGAGGCAGCAGUGAGGAAUAUUGGGCAAUGGGGGCAACCCUGACCCAGCAAUGCCGCGUGCGGGAGGACGCCCUUCGGGGUGUAAACCGCUUUUGUGAGGGAGGAGCAAGGACCGUACCUCACGAAGAAGUCACGGCUAACUACGUGCCAGCAGCCGCGGUAAUACGUAGGUGGCGAACGUUAUCCGGAGUUACUGGGCGUAAAGGGUCCGCAGGCGGGCUUGCAAGUCUGACGUGAAAUCUUCUGGCUUAACUAGAAGAGGUCGUUGGAAACUGCGAGUCUAGCAUCCCGCAGAGGUCGGUGGAAUUCCCGGUGUAGUGGUGGAAUGCGUAGAGAUCGGGAGGAACCUCGAAAGCGAAGGCAGUCGGCUGGGCGCGGAUGGACGCUGAGGGACGAAAGCGUGGGGAGCGAACAGGAUUAGAUACCCUAGUAGUCC
rnacentral:rRNA from 1 species